rnacentral:rRNA from 1 species
UACGUAGGGAGCAAGCGUUGUCCGGAAUCAUUGGGCGUAAAGCGCGCGUAGGUGGCCUCGUAAGUCCGCUGUGAAAGUCAAAGGCUCAACCUUUGAAAGCCGGUGGAUACUGUGAGGCUAGAGUACGGAAGAGGCGAGUGGAAUUCCUGGUGUAGCGGUGGAAUGCGCAGAUAUCAGGGGUAACACCAAUAGCGAAGGCAGGUCUCUGGGCCAUAACUGACGCUGAGAAGCGAAAGCAUGGGGAGCGAACAGG